rnacentral:lncRNA from 1 species
UCCAUUCCUCAUUAUAAUGGGACUUUAUACCUACUCCAUUAUGUAUUGUCAUAAAUGUCUUUUCUUUUUUCUUGUCAGGAUAGGAGGGACUUCUCAAAGAAAGCUCUUUAGGUGAUUCGUAAAUAAUGCCGAAUCCAACUGCUCAAGUGCUUUCUCUUCCACGGCCACAAAUCAAAUGGAUCGAAGAAUGUCCCUCCAAACACUCCUAGUCAGAUCUAAUAACGAGGGCAUACAAUCC